ACUAACGAUGGCGUUACAUCAACUUUUUAAUUAUUCAUAUGGAAUACUUUAAACAAGGAAAAACCGAACAAUUCAAGGAUAUAUUGGAGGAAGGGUCUUCGCCAGAGAUUGAUGAGUACUAUGCUGAUAUGAAAGCGGAGCGCAUUGCUAUAUUGAAUGCACUGGGAGCAUAUUUUAGUUAUCAGGGAAAAAUUGAGACUAAGCAAAGAGAAAAAGAUGAGUAUUUUUUUUUGGCAACACAGUAUUAUAAUAGAGCUUCGAGGAUUGACAUACAUGAGCCUUCAACUUGGGUUGGUAAAGGUUUUACUGGCCAAGGGUGAAACAGAACAAGCAUCUUCAAUGUUUAAGAUUAUGCUGGAAGGAAAUCCUAAGAAUGUGCCUGUCCUGCUUGGUCAGGCAUGUGUUCAGUUCAACCUUAACCGUUACACAGAGUCUUUGGACUUAUAUAAGG